rnacentral:rRNA from 1 species
GCCAGACUCCUACGGGAGGCAGCAGUGAGGAAUAUUGGUCAAUGGGCGAGAGCCUGAACCAGCCAAGUCGCGUGAGGGAAGACGGUCCUAUGGAUUGUAAACCUCUUUAGGCGGGGAGCAAUGCCGGGCACGCGUGUCCGGAGGGAGAGUGCCCGCAGAAUAAGCAUCGGCUAACUCCGUGCCAGCAGCCGCGGUAAUACGGAGGAUGCGAGCGUUAUCCGGAUUUAUUGGGUUUAAAGGGUGCGCAGGCGGAAGAUCAAGUCAGGGGUAAAAUUGGGAGGCUAAACCUCUUCGAGCCGUUGAAACUGGUUUUCUUGAGUGAGCGAGAAGUAUGCGGAAUGCGUGGUGUAGCGGUGAAAUGCAUAGAUAUCACGCAGAACUCCGAUUGCGAAGGCAGCAUACCGGCGCUCAACUGACGCUCAUGCACGAAAGUGUGGGUAUCGAACAGGAUUAGAUACCCCCGUAA